UACGUAGGGUGCGAGCGUUAAUCGGAAUUACUGGGCGUAAAGUGUGCGCAGGCGGCCGCGCAAGUCGAGUGUGAAAUCCCCGGGCUUAACUUGGGAAUUGCGCUCGAAACUACGUGGCUGGAGUGUGGCAGAGGAAGGUGGAAUUCCAGGUGUAGCGGUGAAAUGCGUAGAUAUCUGGAGACACCGGUGGCGAAGGCGGCGAGAUCC
rnacentral:rRNA from 1 species